ensembl:lncRNA
GUGACAUAUACUGCCGUGCUGGAUAAAACCGACACUUGUGGGAAACUAAAUCCUGUCUGUCCAUGUUUCCACAGAGAAUAUUGAGGAGGCAUCCUCUGAUCUAUUUGGUGCUAUUAUUUCCGACCUGCAUGAGGUAUCUGAGGUCAAUAAAGGCCUCCAUGUGUACGAAAGCAGGUCGCAAAUUGUUCUGGGUGGAAGUGAGUUCAGGUUCCCAGAAGAUUUAUACCAAAACCCUGCACAAACUGAGGAAGCUGUUCACCUCACACCAUCUCACUGCAAAUCGAGCUCUAUGACACUGGACUACUUGUAACUGAGACCACUGUGGAGGUAUCUCCUGUAUGGAAGACAGACAGUAAUACCUCUAUGUCCUCAGCCUCAGCCCACCAGCUCACCCUCGACACCUGCACUAAAGGGUCAUCAAACAGGUGAUCUUGGUGCUGAGGUUGGAGACUUCAAGGGAAGACUGCUUCGCUUCCGUUGGGGAGAGCACGUCAAAUGCGUCCUUCGACUUCAACCAGAAGUUGGACUCGAUCAUUUCGAAAUUGGAGGACCUCACCAUUUCGAGUGACGUGACGUCAGCCCAGACUGCCACGCUCACGCAAUCUCGUUGUGCAGCCAGCAGAACCUCUAACAUUUCCAUCCAGAGCUUUCAUAGUGCUGAGUUCCGAGCUACGGCCAAACAGAUUGUGCGUGAGGCCAUUCUCAGAGCUGCUAGCGAAGCCAACUGUUCUUUGCCACAGAGCAUGCCUAGCAUCACCUUCUCACACCAUGUGGUUUCUACAACUCAAGAUAUAGUGAAUAUGAUCAUGCAAGACCUUGAAAGUGUAUCCCAGUACACAGUGGAGGACGCAGACUCCUUCCCACUUGGAGAGAAAAAGCUGCAGUCCAAGCUCAAGCCCAGAGUUGUCUUUGACAACUCAUUUUUUGCUGCUCAAAUCAUGUACCACAGAGUAAAGGAUAGACUGACUGUCUUUUUGUCUUUUCCACCCUUGUCUGUCACCACAGCCAAAGAUGUGCUGAACUCCACCCCUGUGGAGACACUCAGAUGCUCGAAGUCCCCUGACACUGCUCUUGUUAAGGACAGGAGCCGCCCUCCGUCUGUGAGAAGUGAGAAGCCAUUUUCAAAAGUCAGUUUGACUAAAAGGUCUAAAGCCCUUGUGUCUUCGAGUGGCUCCUCCACAGACCACCAUGUAAUUGACACAUGCAGUGAGGAUGUCACUCUGCCCACCAGGAGUGUGUCAGUUAUGAGCGAUACCAGUUUGAAGAGAGCCUCUCAUCUCGAUGGUAGUGGAUUACACCAGCAAUGCCGCAAGUGACAUCACUCAUGGUGUUGUGGCUGACCUUAAUGCUACUGAGGAAUUCCCUGCCAGGGGCCUUAGCCCGGCUGAUGUAAAGGCUGACGGCAUGGCCCGCCUUCCCUCUGCCAGUGGGGAAGAGACUAAGAAGAACAGGAAGUGGCGCUUCCUACCCAAAAUUGGCAAGAUUCCAAAGAUCAGGAUGAAGGUAGGGGGCUCUGUGUUUUGAGAUUACCUCUGUAAGGCAGGUUCUGAAAUGUACCCUACAGAUUCACUAAACCCCUAUUGUCUCAGCAUUAGAACAAUGCUGUUGUCAUUGUCUUUAGGAGGUUGAGUGAGGCCGCUGUAAUA